UACGGAGGGUGCGAGCGUUGUCCGGAUUCAUUGGGCGUAAAGGGUGCGUAGGCGGCGCGGUAAGUCGGGUGUGAAAUCUUGGAGCUUAACUCCGAAACUGCAUUCGAUACUGCCGUGCUUGAGGACUGGAGAGGAGACUGGAAUUUACGGUGUAGCGGUGAAAUGCGUAGAUAUCGUAAGGAAGACCAGUGGCGAAGGCGGGUCUCUGGACAGUUCCUGACGCUGAGGCACGAAGGCCAGGGGAGCAAACGGG
rnacentral:rRNA from 1 species